UACUGAGGGGGCAAGCGUUGUUCGGAAUUACUGGGCGUAAAGGGCGCGUAGGCGGCCUGUUAAGUCGAACGUGAAAUCCCCGGGCUCAACCCGGGAACUGCGUCCGAUACUGGCAGGCUUGAAUCCGGGAGAGGGAUGCGGAAUUCCAGGUGUAGCGGUGAAAUGCGUAGAUAUCAGGAGGAACACCGGUGGUGUAGACAGCUUACUGGACCACUUCUGACGCUGAGACACGAAAGCGUGGGUAGCAAACAGG
rnacentral:rRNA from 1 species